rnacentral:sRNA from 1 species
AAGUAUGUAGUAAGUUCAGCCCUUCAUUGUUUGUUACAUUGCAAAUUAACCAAAUUAAACUGAAAUUUUUUUUCCUUUCAGUUUCUAGCAUGGACAAUCCAGAUAAUGAAAUAGUCUUGUACUUAAUGUUACGGGCUGUUGAUAGAUUUCAUAAACAACAUGGUAGAUAUCCAGGGGUAUCUAACUAUCAAGUUGAAGAAGAUAUAGGAAAGUUGAAGUCUUGUCUCACUGGCUUCCUUCAGGAAUAUGGUUUAUCUGUAAUGGUGAAAGAUGAUUAUGUCCAUGAAUUGUGAGUAUAUUUUAGGGUAUCUAGGAGAUGAUUCCACACCUGUCAUAAGGCUAAUCAAAAUUCAUGUCUCUGUGGUCUCCUCUAGUUGCCGAUAUGGAGCUGCUGAGCCACAUACCAUUGCUGCAUUCUUGGGGGGUGAGUUCCAUAUAUGAGAAGAUUCACCUGUUGUUACAUAGUACAGUUACUAUUUUAAUACGAAGUUUUGUCGUCUAGCUAUUUUAAUUAGGUCAGUGAAGCAGGAUGUUAUAUUUCUUUUUUUUUUUGAGACACA